UGAUAUCUCAGGAAAGUCCGGACAGCACAGGGCGGCGCGCUGUGGAAAGCACAGAUGGGCGUAAGCUUAUGUCGCGCGUAACAGAAAACAACCGGCCCGCUUAUGCGGACCAAGGGUGAAAAUGUGGGGUAAGAGCCCACGGGGAUAUGCGGCGACGUAUAUCCGGUACGCGCCCGCGCGCUGCAAGGCCAAAUAUACCGGCACAUAAGGGCUGCCCGCCCUUUGCCGGGGGGUAGGCUGCGUCAGAUAAAUGACAGAGGGGGUGGUGAGCGGACCGCAUCUACCGGUCAUCCGCCACCUCACAGAACCCGGCUUACAGCCUCACCU
rnacentral:RNase_P_RNA from 1 species